CCCGGAAGUGAAGACUCGGCGAAUAUAAUUUCUGGCGGAGGAAUCUAUGAAGAGAAAAUGAUAGGAAAACCGUAUUUGUAUUCGAACAGGACGAUGAUGCGCCCCAGAGGUCACUGUCUAUCCUCGGAAGGCCUUUUGAGGAAAGCCAUGUUUCGCGGUCCCAGCCUCGGGUGAAGAUGUCUGGGACGUUGCAGGGUUUGCGCGUGAAUUGAGCUCUUCUACCGGACCGACAUGUUUUCCGCCACAGCCUGAAUGUAAGGAUCCUAGAGCCAAGCGGUCAACAGUUAUUUCUUGGUGGGGGCUUAGAAGAGGAUGGAGCAGGAAUUGCAAAUUCAUUUAGGCACCUGACUUACCAGUUGAUUCCCAACUCCACCUACCAUUCGCCAGGAACUAAAGGACAGCGCGAAGCUGGGAAAGAAGACUUGCGAAAAUAAAUAGAAAAGGAGACAUCACUGCUCCACUCUUUAUUCGAUUUUGGCUUUUGUCAUUGAUGGUGGAGACCAUCAACGCUUUUCAAAGCCUAUGGGGAAGAUUUACGUGCUUUUUUAAAAAAAUUACUGACGUAUAGAUGAUAGUGUGUUAAUAUCUGCUGUAGUGUGUUAAUAUCUGCUGUACAGCAAAGUGAUUCCGUUGUAACUAUAUAUAUAUGCUUAAAUUCUUUUCUAUUAUGGAUUAUCACAACGUAUUGAAUAUCGUUCCCUGCGCUAUACAGUAGGACCUGUUUAUCCGUUCUGUAUGUAAUAAUUUGCCAUCUGCUAAUCCCAAACUCCCAAUCCAUCCCUUUUCUCAAUUUCCGUAGAUCCUGUUCAUGUUCUUUAAAGGACUUCUUUGGCUUAUUGCCCAAUUGGUAUUUACAGCUUCUUUGAGGGUCAGAAUCAGUCUUGUUUAUAACCUCUUCGGUGUCUCAUACAGUAGGCACUCAUAAUCUACUUAUAAAUUACCCCAAAUAGCUUUUUUUUUUUUUUAAUGAAGUGACUUGUAAGUAUAAGCAUAUAACAUAUUUGGGUUAAGUCGUUUGUUUUCUUAGAGACCCAGGCUGAGAUAAUGAAGUGCAGAUUUAAUGUCACAGGUGCCUUCUGCAGCAUCUGGAAUUACUACCUAAUACAUUGGUAGUCAGUGGGCAAGCACAAGAGUGGUUGGUUACAGCUUUCCCCAAAAUAAUUUUUUUAAGUUGUUUUCACCCUUGUAACAUCUGUUCAACCUGAAGUUCAUCAUUAUAAUGUGUAAAGGCUACUUAAAUCCUUCUUCCUCAAAGUUGAACAUCAGAUAAAAUAUAUAAGCUGAACAUGGAAGCAAAGCUAAUUUUUUAGAUCUAUGCUGCUUCCUGUGAAGAGAGAAAACUAGAAUCCAGUCCUGGGAUUGAAUAUCUUUAUUAAAGAAGUGAUUAAAUGGCAGCACAAAUCAGCAAUAAUUUGGGGAGGAGUGGAGACAUGGUGUAGGGUCAGAGUUGAUUGUUCAUUUCAUAGUGUCAAGGGAGCUGAAGAACUGUGCCCAAGGCCCAUUUGCUCAGUAUCCUACACUGCAAAUGCAGGAGGGCAAAACUAAAAUACUAAGGCCCAUGCCUAUGCCUUUUAGAGACUAAAACCUUACAAAUUAUCGUAACAGCAAGAUUGCAUUUUAAGAUUUGAAAUCUGAUUUUCCUCAGCUAGCAUUUUCAGCCCACAGGAACAAAAUUGUAAAUUGAGUAGGUUUAAAGAAGGAACAACUUUUGAUAGAGUAUAACUUUCUGAAAUGAUUCAGGGCUUUCUUCUUAUUAUCAUCUCCCACACUGUGUUAUUUCCUCUUGUUUCAUACCUUCAACUGCCCCUAAUUUCUCUGCAAAAAAAGUGUAUCACAAGAAGCAGCAGGAUCACCUUAACCUUUUAGAAACCCUAUAGUUUUAUAGCAGAUAAUCUCAAAAUUUACAGGGUUUUCAUCAACCCCUGAAGAAAUAUUUAUGUUUCUUGGCUUGGAACAACUAAUUAGGAAGGUUUGAGCAAUCUCUGAAAGCUGAUUAAAGUGAACUAAAAAAAAAUCAGUCCUCCAUUUUACACUGCUAUACAACUCAGUUGUGGCCUCACCAGUCUUUUUUUUCUGGAUUUAAUGUCUGGGGAAGGAAAGGAGGAAUCCCUGUGACCAAUACUCCAUUGCUUGUACCCUUUACUUUGUGACUUGAGGACUUUUGAGGAAAAACUGGUAAGAUAAAUAAAUAAAUAAAUACAUAAAACACAA